rnacentral:rRNA from 1 species
CGCGUAGGCGGGAACUUAAGUCAGGUGUGAAAACUCUGGGCUCAACCUGGGGACUGCACUUGAAACUGGGUUUCUUGAGGGCAGGAGAGGAAAGUGGAAUUCCUAGUGUAGCGGUGAAAUGCGUAGAUAUUAGGAGGAACACCAGUGGCGAAGGCGACUUUCUGGACUGUACCUGACGCUGAGGCGCGAAAGCGUGGGGAGCAAACG